rnacentral:miRNA from 1 species
GCUGGGCUGAGCUGGACUGAACUGGGCUGAGCUGGGCUGAGCCGGGCUGAGUUGAGCAGAGCUGGGU